AUGGGGCACCUACCAGUCCGGCGCACUUCUCAACCAGGACGCCUGCCGGGUAUGAGGCCGCCACAGCCACCUGCCACGAGUCCAUCUUUAGAGCUGUACUGUUGCAUCUACCAUGCCAGAUCUCUCUGCCAUCGACGUCACCACGACGCCAGACAGCGUCGUCCUCCUGCGCGAGUCCAUCCUCCCACAUCGAACUCCGAAUCUGCACUGCGCCACGCCGUCAAGAUCCGUCGCCAUCAAUGUAUGGAUGAAGCACCGCUCCACCAAAGAAACCGUCCGCUGGUCCCGCGAAGCAAGGCGCGGCACCAAGUAGAAGGCCGAAGCGCACCGCCACCACGCCACCAGCAGCCCCGCCACCAAGAGCUGUUCCCAGCCGCCGCCUUCAAGAAGGAACACGACACCAGGGUGCCGUCAACGCCCAGACCAGGGGAACAAAAGCUUUCGCCAUAG
rnacentral:rRNA from 1 species